GGAUGUGAGGUUGAUCUGGCUGUGACAUCUGUCACCCCACUGAUCAUCAGGGUGGAUUUGGAUGAUCGGGCUGGCUAGGCUUUCUCACUCACUGCUCCAUGUGCAUCCUUCCUGAAGCUGCUUGCUUGGUUGAAGUCGAUGACCACCCCCAAAAGGGGAGGACUGUUUCUUUAGUCAAGGGUAAUAUGGGUGGCCAUAGCCCCCUGUUAGAACUUCCAAACGAGCUCCCAAGAUUAGUUCAACAUAUGAAAAUCAAUCAAUGUAAUAUAUCAUAUUCAUAGAAUUAAU
rnacentral:snRNA from 1 species